ensembl:lncRNA
GGUCACCUGAUCCAGCCCUAGCUAUAUGCUUUAGCAAACAAUGCUGGCUUUUGAGGUAGGGUACUGAAAAGCCUGAUGUACGGUGUACAUUUUAGGACAUUGUCAGGUCUCAAGAAAAAAAUUUUCAGGUAUCAGACAAAAAAUUGUCAGGUCUCAGUUCUCAAGAAAAAAGUUGUCAGGUAUCAGACAAAAAAUUGUCAGGUCUCAGUUGUCAGGAAAAAAGUUGUCAGGUAUCAGACAAAAAAUUGUCAGGUCUCAGUUCUCAAGAAAAAAGUUGUCAGGUAUCAGACAAAAAAUUGUCAGGUCUCAGUUCUCAAGAAAAAACAUUGGACAUUGGAAUGCCCAGUGCAGUAGCAAAUCGCUCGUGCUUCACUGCACAAGCUGGACCCACAGAGUCUGCUAAGCGUAAGAUUACAAGUGUGCUCCAAAGCUUCCUUUGCCUGUUAGACGUGGGAAUGCUGCAGACCAUCAGGGAGUGUACGGUCCAUCAAGCCCACAGAACAGAGCCGGACUGGAAUUUGUCAGUUCAUGAACUGAUGGCAUUCAUUUCAAUCCUGUUUGUAAGAACAAUCAUGUGUCCUGUUGGUGCCAUUGUGGAUUGCUGGUCAGAAAGAUUUCUGGUGCCAGUAAUCAAAGAGACAAUGCCCCUAGAUAGAUUCAUUUCAAUUAUGCAACACCUUCGAUUUGAUGACAAGGACACGCGGGCAGAACGGGUGAAAACAAUUUUGCAGUGAUCUCCGACAUCUGGACACGCUUCAACAAGAACUGUGCUAAGAGUUUCACUCCAGGAGAACACAUGACCAUAGAUGAACAGCUGUUCCCUACAGAGGUUCGUUGUCCAUUCACACAGUAUAUCGCAACCAAGCCAGACAAAUUUGGGAUCAAGUUCUGGAUGGCCACGGCCUUGGACACCAAAUAUGUCUGCAGUGCAUCUCCUUAUUUGGGAAAAGACCCCAGUCGUCAGAAGGGAGAGAGGCUGGCAGAGAACGUGGUCAUGAAACUGAUGGAGCCGUUUUUGGAUGAUGGGAGAAACGUCACAACAGACAAUUUCUUUACUUCACUGUCACUGUCGCACAGACUGCUGCAGCGCAAAACGCCGUUAUGGGGCACGGUGAAUAAAGUCUGGCGUGAACUUACUCAACUUGUGCGGAUGUAUUCCAUAAGAGCAGCAGCACGCAGGUGGUCAGUAGCGGUUUUCUACAAUAUGCUGGACCUGGCGGCGGUGAAUGCCUACAUUUUGUA